rnacentral:rRNA from 1 species
CGGGUGAGUAACACGUAGGUAACCUGCCCAUGUGCCCGGGAUAACUUCUGGAAACGGAUGCUAAAACCGGAUAGGUAGCAGACAAGCAUUUGACUGCUAUUAAAGUGGCUAAGGCCAUGAACAUGGAUGGACCUGCGGUGCAUUAGCUAGUUGGUGAGGUAACGGCCCACCAAGGCGACGAUGCAUAGCCGGCCUGAGAGGGCGGACGGCCACAUUGGGACUGAGACACGGCCCAAACUCCUACGGGAGGCAGCAUG